rnacentral:rRNA from 1 species
AGUGAACGCUGGAGGUGGGCCUAACACAUGCAAGUCGAACGGCAGCACAGUAAGAGCUUGCUCUUACGGGUGGCGAGUGGCGGACGGGUGAGGAAUACAUCGGAAUCUACUUUUUCGUGGGGGAUAACGUAGGGAAACUUACGCUAAUACCGCAUACGACCUACGGGUGAAAGCAGGGGAUCUUCGGACCUUGCGCGAUUGAAUGAGCCGAUGUCGGAUUAGCUAGUUGGCGGGGUAAAGGCCCACCAAGGCGACGAUCCGUAGCUGGUCUGAGAGGAUGAUCAGCCACACUGGAACUGAGACACGGUCCAGACUCCUACGGGAGGCAGCAGUGGGGAAUAUUGGACAAUGGGCGCAAGCCUGAUCCAGCCAUACCGCGUGGGUGAAGAAGGCCUUCGGGUUGUAAAGCCCUUUUGUUGGGAAAGAAAAGCAGCAGGUUAAUACCCCGCUGUUCUGACGGUACCCAAAGAAUAAGCACCGGCUAACUUCGUG